rnacentral:tRNA from 1 species
UCCCUGAUGGUCUAGUUGUCAGGAUUCGGUGCUCUCACCGCCGCGGCCUGGGUUCGAUUCCUGAUCAGGGAA